GGUCUAUGGGAUGAGCUCAGUUGGUCAGAACGUGGUGCUAAUAACACCAGGGUUGGGAGUUCAAUCCCUCUAUGGGCCA